GGAAAGAUGCAGGAGUGGUUUAACUGGCACGCCUGGAAAGCGUGUGUACCGGAAACGGUACCGAGGGUUCGAAUCCCUCUCUUUCCG
rnacentral:tRNA from 2 species